rnacentral:rRNA from 1 species
GACGAACGCUGGCGGCGUGCUUAACACAUGCAAGUCGAGCGGUAAGGCCCUUUCGGGGGUACGACGAGCGGCGAACGGGUGAGUAACACGUGGGUGACCUGCCCUCAGCUCUGGGAUAAAGCCUGGGAAACCGGGUCUAAUACUGGAUAUGACUCCAUGACGCAUGUUGUGGGGGUGGAAAGCCUUGUGCGGCUGAGGAUGGGCCCGCGGCCUAUCAGCUUGUUGGUGGGGUGAUGGCCUACCAAGGCGACGACGGGUAGCCGGCCUGAGAGGGCGACCGGCCACACUGGGACUGAGACACGGCCCAGACUCCUACGGGAGGCAGCAGUGGGGAAUUUUUGGACAAUGGGCGAAAGACCUGAUCCAGCCAUGCCGCGUGUG